GUACCUUUUUCGGUCUUUCGGUUGAGAUCGAGUAUAUGCUUUUAUCAGUUUAAUAUCUAAUACGUGGGCCAAUGGCCCACCCGGUAUUAAAUUUAUUUUUUAAGGGGAAAAGCUUGCCACAGUAGCUGGCAACUGGGGCCUUAAGUGUCGCCCAAGUGUUGCACUACAGCACGGGCCUGGCGCAUCCCAU